rnacentral:lncRNA from 10 species
CUCGUGUGUGUCUCCGCCUUCACAUGACUGGAACCUGGUGGAACCUGACUGCACGACGUGUUCUCAGCAGUGAACCAGGCCCCCCUGCCCUUGCCUGGAACAGGAAGACAGCAGGAAACCAGGCUUUGAGAGGAGAGAAGGAGGCCAAGAGGACUGUCCCUAGGUAUCUUGGAGGAACAGAAUCACUUGCCCGAUGCUGUGGUCUCUGCGACUCUAUAUUCAGAGCAUUUUCUUCUCUGCUCUGCCCAGUGCCAUCAAAGGGGUACACACCCUGGUGGAGCUUUAGGCAGAAAAGUCCAUUUCCAGAGAACAUGCACUCUUCGAGUUCUGAGAUCCCAGGUGCUUUGCCGUGAGAAAGAUGAGGACUGGGCUUGUGACCUCUGACAAGGAAAAUGCCUGGCAGGAAAUCUAAUUUCUGUCAGGCUUUCCAGGAGCAGCAUGGGCCUCAGAAGGCCUGAGGGAGUGGAAAUGGGCUGGUCCUGAGACAGAAGGGACAGGCCUUCCUGGUCAGGAUUGAGGCACCCAGGAAGAGCUGAAGCUGGACAAUCUCAAGAGACGAGCCAUCCGGGAGAAGAUGCUGGAGCCCUUCCAUGCAAAGCUGAGAGGGGAGCUCAAGGCACAUUGGAGGCAUGAUUGGAGCCCACAGCAGGAGGGCCGCGGGCCCUGGGACAGGAAGCUUCUCUGCUUCUCUCUGGUAUCUACGUGGGUCACGGGCUGAUACGUGUAAGAGUCCCUAGUUAUGUAGUAAGUCCUCAAGUCAAGCAAAAUGAGAUGUCCCCUGAUACAUUUACUCCCAACACUUAAUCCCAAUGAUUUCUAUGAUACAUAGACUAUAUUUGUGCCAAUAAGCCUACAGUAACUUAGUUUGCAGGUAAAAAUCCCCAUUUGUGUACACAUAACUUAUUUUAGAGCACACAUUUGAUUAUACAUUUGAAAUCAGAAUUAGGGGCCAAUUAUGAGAAAUGGAAAAAAUAAGCUUUUUUAUUUUUUCAGACAGGGUCUCACUGUGUCACCCAGGCUGGAGUGUAGUGCUGCGAUCAUAGCUCACUGCAGUCUUGACCUCCUGGGCUCAAGCAAUC